CCCUGAUGUUAGCGGCGGACGGGUGAGUAACACGUGGGUAACCUGCCUGUAAGACUGGGAUAACUCCGGGAAACCGGGGCUAAUACCGGAUGGUUGUUUGAACCGCAUGGUUCAAACAUAAAAGGUGGCUUCGGCUACCACUUACAGAUGGACCCGCGGCGCAUUAGCUAGUUGGUGAGGUAACGGCUCACCAAGGCGACGAUGCGUAGCCGACCUGAGAGGGUGAUCGGCCACACUGGGACUGAGACACGGCCCAGACUCCUACGGGAGGCAGCAGUAGGGAAUCUUCCGCAAUGGACGAAAGUCUGACGGAGCAACGCCGCGUGAGUGAUGAAGGUUUUCGGAUCGUAAAGCUCUGUUGUUAGGGAAGAACAAGUACCGUUCGAAUAGGGCGGUACCUUGACGGUACCUAACCAGAAAGCCACGGCUAACUACGUGCCAGCAGCCGCGGUAAUACGUAGGUGGCAAGCGUUGUCCGGAAUUAUUGGGCGUAAAGGGCUCGCAGGCGGUUUCUUAAGUCUGAUGUGAAAGCCCCCGGCUCAACCGGGGAGGGUCAUUGGAAACUGGGGAACUUGAGUGCAGAAGAGGAGAGUGGAAUUCCACGUGUAGCGGUGAAAUGCGUAGAGAUGUGGAGGAACACCAGUGGCGAAGGCGACUCUCUGGUCUGUAACUGACGCUGAGGAGCGAAAGCGUGGGGAGCGAACAGGAUUAGAUACCCUGGUAGUCCACGCCGUAAACGAUGAGUGCUAAGUGUUAGGGGGUUUCCGCCCCUUAGUGCUGCAGCUAACGCAUUAAGCACUC
rnacentral:rRNA from 1 species